AGAGGGAACGAGUAGAGAGAGCGCGGGGGGAGGAGGGGGGUAGAUUGAGACAGAGGUAAAGAGUAGAGUAAGUGAGAAAAAGAUUUAUGCAAAAGAGGCAAGAGAAAAAACAUGUGGAAAGAGGAAGGGGAAGGAAUAUAGCGAGUACGUUCGAGACAAGAGGCAAGAGACAAGGAGACCGAGCUAAAAUUGUUUGAGGAGAGAAGAACGAUAGAGUGAGGGGGAGAGAAAAAGGGGGAGAGAGAGAGAGCGAGAAGAGGAAGGGACCUGGUGAGUAAGCACGAGACAUGGAAAGAGACAAGAGGAGAGACAGCUAAAAAUAUUUGAGGGAAGAAGAACGAUAGAAGAGAGAGAGAGGAAGAGAGAGCCAGCGAGAGGGAGGGACAUGGUGAGUAAGCACGAGACACAUGGAAAGAGACAAGAGGAGACAGCUAAAAAUAUUUGAGGGAAGAAGAACGAUAGAAGAGAGAGAGAGGAAGAGCGAGCCAGCGAGAGGGAGGGACAUGGUGAGUAAGCACGAGACACAUGGAAAGAGACAAGAGGAGAGACUGAGCUAAAAAUGUUUGAAGGAUGAAGAAGAAUUGAAGAGAGAGGGGAAGAGAUAGAGCGAGAGGGAAGAUGAAGGGCGAGGGGACAUGAGCUUGAACCAAAUCAGCAGGGUCAGAUGGUUUGGCGGGACGUUUUCAACCUUCCCCUCAAUAUGGAGGAAGAAAAGAACAGCAGAAAACGGUUCACACUUUUGUUCCAGUGAAUGUUUUGGCUGUCAGAUGGUGACUGUCAAGACGACUUCUAGACGAACUACCGAAAAAGGACUUCCUCUUGUGAGUUGUCAUUUUCCCCAUUGAAGCCGAGCUAAGGAUUCCAGAUUACCAGCUUGCAUCGGACUGAUCCCGCCAAGAGCUCAGUCAGAAGGCCAACGAAGACCCCCAUUCUAUCUAUUGACUAACUACACAACUAAAUUGGCCUUUCUCUCCCCAGCAUUGGCAUGAGGUGUAAUGUGUAGCUCUUUAGGUUAACGUUAAAGCAGCAAUAAAUCAGUAGAAACAAUAACAAAUAAGAUUCCCCGCCCCGUUGUGGUAAAAAUCUAAGGGAUGGGGCUGGAGAAACGUAACCACUCUCAAAUUCAUAGACAGAGCUAUGGAUGCAAGGACUGACCAUACAUGAUAUCAAAAUUAUAGCUUCAACCAUGUUGAGGCUUUAUAGUGUUUGUUUACAAAACGGAGUAAAACCAGCUUAUAUUUUGGGGUCUGAUGGGGUACAACAGUUGAACUAAGCUCAUGAGGCAUUUAAAAAGUUACAAUCUUCAAGAAUCUAUGGAUAAAUAUUUUUUUAAAUAUUUUAUUUAAACUUUAUUUUACUUGGCAAGUCAGUUAAGAACAAAAUUCUUAUUUACAAUGACGGCCUACACCAGCCAAACUCGGAUGAUGCUGGGCCAAUUGUGCACCGUCCUAUGGUACUCCCAAUCACGGCCGGUUGUGAUACAGCCUGGAUUCGAACCAGGGUGUCUGUAGUGACGCCUCUCACACUGAGAUGCAGCGCCUUUGACCGCUGCGCCACUCAGGUGCCCAAAAAUGGAUAUAGCAACUUCUGAUUGGAACAGGAUAAUUUAAACAUUAGAACUGAACCAUUACUUGCCCUUUUAAGUUCGUCCCUACAUUCCCAGAAAUAUAGGAAAUAGUAUUUCACAGUAUGCACCCGCGUGACUUGUUAAGUAUAGUGGAGUGUGUAAAUGUCAGUCUAUCCAAAUUGAGAAUAUCUAAGAAUUUGCUGAAAUUGUUUUAUUUUAUUCAUACAUUCCCUGUAUCGAUCAUAUGCCAUUAUCAUUCAUCCUGUAGCCAUUGAUUCAUUGUAUCUGUUGUUUUCUGAUACAAAACAAGCUUUAGAAAACAUACAACUUCAUGAAUGUGAUACUAGGCUCAUCAAUAUACCUUCAGAUAAAUCAAUUAUUAAUAAUAUCCCUAUUUUUUUUUGUUCUAAGUGUCAUUGUUAAGGUCACUUAUAAGCAAGGUCUUCAUGUACAAUUUAUUUUCCAAUAAACGGACUGGUUCCCAGAUUUAUAGCAUAUA